rnacentral:lncRNA from 1 species
AAGCGAUCUGAUUGAAAAAGUAGUGACAAAUUUGUCUCCAAAUUGGAGGAAAAGAUUGACCAGAAUCCAGGGCAGAACAUGGCAGAUUUGGCAAAUGAAAUGGGCAUGGUGAAGUCAACAGUUAGUCUGGCAUUGCAGAAAGAUUUAGGGUACAAAACUUAUUGUCUUCAGGAAUCAACAACUGCUGACCAAAAAGAGCAAGAUCGAUCAGAAAAUGGCCACCAUAUAAUGCCAUUUUCCGAUAGCGAUACUCCCAAUAGCGCUGGUUUCCUGAGGUUCGUCUCACAUGAGAAGAAUUUCAUCCAAGACAGGAAAGCAAAUCGGCAGAACGACCGGUGGAUAUGCCAGAAU